rnacentral:rRNA from 1 species
AUUGAACGCUGGCGGCAGGCCUAACACAUGCAAGUCGAGCGGAGCGGCGGACGGGUACGUAAUGCCUAGGCAUCUGCCUGGUAGUGGGGGAUAACGUCCGGAACCGGGCGCUAAUACCGCAUACUAUCAUAUGAUCCUGGGUGGGAUUAGCUAGUUGGUGGGGUAACGGCCUACCAAGGCGACGAUCCGUACCUGGUCUGAGAGGAUGAUCAGGCACACUGGGACUGAGACACGGGCCAGACUCCUACGGGAGGCAGCAGUGGGGAAUAUUGGGCAAUGGGCGAAAGCCUGAUCCAGCCAUGCCGCGUGUGUGAAGAAGGUCUUCGGAUUGUAAAGCACUGUAGGUAGGGAGGCGUUACCAAAAGAAUAAGCAACGGCUAACUACGUGCCAGCAGCCGCGGUAAUUC